rnacentral:rRNA from 1 species
GAUGAACGCUGGCGGCGUGCCUAAUACAUGCAAGUCGAGCGAACAGAUGAGGAGCUUGCUCCUCUGACGUUAGCGGCGGACGGGUGAGUAACACGUGGAUAACCUACCUAUAAGACUGGGAUAACUUCGGGAAACCGGAGCUAAUACCGGAUAAUAUAUUGAACCGCAUGGUUCAAUAGUGAAAGACGGUUUUGCUGUCACUUAUAGAUGGAUCCGCGCCGCAUUAGCUAGUUGGUAAGGUAACGGCUUACCAAGGCAACGAUGCGUAGCCGACCUGAGAGGGUGAUCGGCCACACUGGAACUGAGACGCGGUCCAGACUCCUACGGGAGGCAGCAGUGGGGAAUCUUCCGCAAUGGGCGAAAGCCUGACGGAGCAACGCCGCGUGAGCGAUGAAGGUCUUCGGAUCGUAAAACUCUGUUAUUAGGGAAGAACAAAUGUGUAAGUAACUAUGCACGUCUUGACGGUACCUAAUCAGAAAGCCACGGCUAACUACGUG